GCCCCCAUUGUCUAAUGGUUAUACCAUCAGACUUCUACUUGCAAAGGGGCUGAAUCUGGAGAUUGCAGGUUUGAGUCCUGCCAGGGGAUA